UACGUAGGGGGCAAGCGUUGUCCGGAUUUAUUGGGCGUAAAGAGCGUGUAGGCGGCUUUACAGGUCCGUUGUGAAAACUCGAGGCUCAACCUCGAGACGCCGGUGGAAACCGUAAGGCUAGAGUCCGGAAGAGGAGAGUGGAAUUCCUGGUGUAGCGGUGAAAUGCGCAGAUAUCAGGAAGAGCACCCGUGGCGAAGGCGGCUCUCUGGGACGGUACUGACGCUGAGACGCGAAAGCGUGGGGAGCGAACAGG
rnacentral:rRNA from 1 species